rnacentral:rRNA from 1 species
GUAGGUGGUUAGUAAAGUGAAUAGUGAAACCUGGUGGCUCAACCAUACAGACUAUUAUUCAAACUCACUAACUCGAGAGUGGUAGAGGUAACUGGAAUUUCUUGUGUAGGAGUGAAAUCCGUAGAUAUAAGAAGGAACACCAAUGGCGUAGGCAGGUUACUGGACCAUUUCUGACACUAAGGCACGAAAGCGUGGGGAGCGAACCGGAUUAGAUACCCGGGUAGUCCACGCCGUAAACUAUGGACGCUAGCUGUUGGAGGUAUCGACCCCUUCAGUAGCGAAGCUAACGCGUUAAGCAUCCCGCCUGAGGAGUACGGUCGCAAGACUAAAACAUAAAGGAAUUGACGGGGAUCAGCACAAGCGGUGGAUCGUGUUCUUUAAUUCGAUGAUAAACGAAGAACCUUACCAGGGUUUGACAUCCUUGGAAGCACUGUGAAAGCAGAGUGUGCCUUUGGAACCAAGUGACAGGUGUUGCAUGGCCGUCGUCAGCUCGUGUCGUGAGAUGUUUUGUUAAGUCCAUCAACGAGCGCAACCCUUGUGAAUAGUUGUAUUUUUCUAUUCAGACUGCUCUAGUAAUAGGGAGGAAGGAGGGGAUGAUGUCAGGUCAGUAUUACCCUUACACCCUGGGCUAGAAACACGAUACAAUGGCCGGUACAAUGCGCAGCGAAGUAGCAAUGUGGAGCAAAUCGCAUCAAAGCCGGUCCCAGUUCGGAUAAGAGGCUGAAACUCGCCUCUUUGAAGCCGGAAUCGCUAGUAAUCGCAGGUCAGCAAACUGCGGUGAAUACGUCACUGAUCUUGUACACACCGCCCGUCAAACCAUGAAAGUCACCAACACCCGAAGUCCGAUUCGUCGGCCUAAGGUGGGGGGGAUGAUUGGGGUU